rnacentral:rRNA from 1 species
GAUGAACGCUGGCGGCGUGCCUAAUACAUGCAAGUCGAGCGAACAGACGAGGAGCUUGCUCCUCUGACGUUAGCGGCGGACGGGUGAGUAACACGUGGAUAACCUACCUAUAAGACUGGGAUAACUUCGGGAAACCGGAGCUAAUACCGGAUAAUAUAUUGAACCGCAUGGUUCCAUAGUGAAAGACGGUUUUGCUGUCACUUGUAGAUGGAUCCGCGCCGCAUUAGCUAGUUGGUAAGGUAACGGCUUACCAAGGCAACGAUGCGUAGCCGACCUGAGAGGGUGAUCGGCCACACUGGAACUGAGACACGGUCCAGACUCCUACGGGAGGCAGCAGUAGGGAAUCUUCCGCAAAGGGCGAAAGCUUGACGGAGCAACGCCGCGUGAGUGAUGAAGGUCUUCGGAUCGUAAAACUCUGUUAUUAGGGAAGAACACAUGUGUAAGAAACUAUGCACGUCUUGACGGUACCUAAUCAGAAAGCCACGGCUAACUACGUG